UACAGAGGGUGCGAGCGUUAAUCGGAGUUACUGGGCGUAAAGGGCACGUAGGCGGUUAUAAAAGUGUGAUGUGAAAGCCCCGGGCUUAACCCGGGAAGUGCAUCGCGGACUGUAUAACUGGAGUAUAGGAGAGGGUGGCGGAAUUUCCGGUGUAGCGGUGAAAUGCGUAGAGAUCGGAAGGAACGUCGAUGGCGAAGGCAGCCACCUGGCCUAAUACUGACGCUGAGGUGCGAAAGCGUGGGGAGCGAACAGG
rnacentral:rRNA from 2 species